rnacentral:lncRNA from 1 species
UAGUAAUACAUCAAAAUAUUUAUUACAAGUAGUUCUUUAAAACACAUUAAAGUGUAUAUAAAGAUAGAUAUAGUUACACUAAAUUACAUGUCAACUUUAUGUCAAUUUGCACAUUUUCAUUCAGUUAACAGGGGAUGCUUACAAGUUAUCACAAUACCAAUACAUCAUUUGUACAUUGCUACUGUUAGUUAUUAUUUAUAUUGUUAGCAUGAGAAAGGCUUUGCUAUAACACGAGGUGCUGAAAUGUAAGCAAACUUUGAAUUGAUUUUAGAAUGUCUCACAUUCAGAGUAAAAUAUAUUUUAUUCCUAAAUUAAUAUAUAGAUGCCCCUAUGACUAUGACAUUUGGAACAAUUAAAACAUCACACAAUUACUCUCCUGUGUGAGUUCUCUGAUGACUAACAAGGUGUACAUGCAGGCCACAUUCAGAAAAAGGUUUCUCUCCUGUUUGAAUUAUUUGAUGAAUAACAAGCUCUCCUUUACUGAUAACACAUUUUCCACAUUCAGAAUAUGUGUGAGUUCUCUGAUGUGUUUCAAGACUUGCUUUACCGACUUGACAUUUUCCAUUCCCACAUAGCAACCAAGCAACAUGGUGGGAAGUAGCAGAAUUAAAAGGUAAAAGAGGCCCUUUAAGAAGGCGUGAAAAAUAGGUUUGUGAAAUAACAGCUACUUUUGGAUGCCGUAGUCUGAGGAGGUGGGUUUUGAGGGACUUGAUUUUCCAGAAUUUUCUUCAUAUGGCGUUGGCUGCCACACUUAGCUUUGCAUCCUGAGUGAAACUUAUGAAUGAUGUUGUUUGGGUCACAGACAGUAAGAGAGAGUCUGGGAUUAGAUAAAGCAAUAAACUGUGUGUGAAAAGGCAUGCAGAAAUUAAGUGAGAAAAUUAAACCAAUCAAUGGGAGAGAUUAGUUAGGUGAAAUUGAUAAAUGGGGAACAUCAAAUAACCAGACAAUAUGUGCAAUAACUCUCACACUAACAAAAAUUAAACAAACAUUAAAGAAUUCAAGAGUUGUGCAUUGAAGGCACAGAAGUUUUCAAAUUUAACAUUAAUAUCAAAGGGGAGGAAAGUAAAGAGGGGCUCUGUAGAGUUAACACAUUUGCAAUACCAAUGCAUCAUUUAUAAAUUACUACUAUCACUGGUAUUUCUUUCUUGUGUCAGCAAUAAAGCAAUUCACAGUAUUAGUUGUUUAAUUCUGAUGCUAAUUCAUAAACACAUUAUAAAAACUCUUCUGUGUGAGUUAUCUGAUGAUUAACAAACUCUGGUUUACUAAUAAAACUAUUUCUCCAUUCUGUACAUGAGAAAGGUUUCUCAUCUGUGUGACUUCUCUGGUGUGCAACUAGAGCUGAGUGCUGGCUAAAGCAUUUUCCACAGUCAGAACAUGACGAAGGUUUCUCUCUUGUGUGAGUUCUCUGGUGUGCAACUAGAGAUGCCUUAAUGGUAAAACAUUUCCCACAUUCAGCACAUGAGAAAGGUUUCUCUCCUGUGUGACUUCUCUGGUGUGCAACUAGAGACGUUCUAAGGCCAAAACAUUUCCCACAUUCAGCACAUGAGAAAGGUUUCUCUCCUGUGUGAGUUAUCUGAUGUUUAUUAAGAUCUGAGUGCUGGCUAAAACAUUUCCCACAUGCAGAACAUGUGAAAGGUUUCUCUCCUGUGUGAGAUCUCUGGUGUACAACUAGAGCCGAGUUAUGGCUAAACCAUUUCCCACAUGCAGAACACGAGAAAGGUUUUUCUCCUGAGUGAGCACUCUGAUGUGUACUAAGACCUGAGUACUGGCUAAAACAUUUUCCACAUUCAGAACAUGAGAAAGGUUUCUCUCCUGUGUGAGUUCGCUGGUGUGCAACUAGAGAUGCCUUAAUGGUAAAACAUUUCCCACAUUCAGCACAUGAGAAAGGUUUCUCUCCUGUGUGACUUCUCUGGUGUGCAACUAGAGACGUUCUAAAGCCAAAACAUUUCCCACAUUCAGCACAUGAGAAAGGUUUCUCUCCUGUGUGAGUUCGCUGGUGUGCAACUAGAGAUGCCUUAAUGGUAAAACAUUUUCCACAUUCAGAACAUGAGAAAGGUUUCUCUCCUGUGUGACUUCUCUGGUGUGCAACUAGAGACAUUCUAAAGCCAAAACAUUUCCCACAUUCAGCACAUGAGAAAGGUUUCUCUCCUGUGUGAGUUAUCUGAUGUUUAACAAGAUAGGAGUGCUGGCUAAAACAUUUCCCACAUGCAGAACAUGUGAAAGGUUUCUCUCCUGUGUGAGUUCGCUGGUGUGAAACUAGAGAUGGCUUACGGGUAAAACAUUUCCCACAUUCAGAACAUGUGAAAGGUUUCUCUCCUGUGUGUAUUCUCUCAUGGGCUCUUAGAUUUGAGGACAGGCGAAACCAUUUCCCACAUUCAGAACAUGAGAAAGGUUUCUCUCCUGUGUGUAUUCUCUCAUGGGCUCUUAGAUUUGAGGACAGACUAAAACAUUUUCCACAUUCAAAACAUGAGAAAGGUUUCUCUCCUGUGUGGGAUCUCUGGUGUACAACAAGGUGUGCAUGGCUGUUUAAACAUUUUCCACAUUCAGUACAUGAGAAAGGUUUCUCUCCUGUAUGAUUUUGCUGGUGUGCAACUAGAGAUGACUUAAGGGUAAACCAUUUCCCACAUUCAGAACAUGAGAAAGGUUUCUCUCCUGUGUGAGUUAUCUGAUGUUUAUUAAGAUCUGAGUGCUGGCUAAAACAUUUCCCACAUGCAGAACAUGUGAAAGGUUUCUCUCCUGUGUGAGUUCGCUGGUGUGAAACUAGAUAUGGCUUAAGGGUAAAACAUUUCCCACAUUCAGAACAUGAGAAAGGUUUCUCUCCUGUGUGAGUUCUCUGGUGUGCAACUAGAGAUGCCUUAAGGGUAAAACAUUUCCCACAUUCAGAACAUGAGAAAGGUUUCUCUCCUGUGUGACUUCUCUGAUGUGUUACAAUUUGUGACUGCCAGCGGAAACAUUUUCCACAUUCAGAACACGAAAAAGGUUUUGGGUUUAUGUUUACUAUCUCCUUUGUAGACAUAUAGGAUUCUGAGAGAUUGCUUGAGUAUGGAGAGUUGGAAUCCUUGGUCUUUUUAUUAAAAGAUUUCUUCAUAAUCUUUUCUGUUGGUAUCCUGUCCUUUAUAAAAACUUCUGCUGUUGGAAAUAUC